rnacentral:rRNA from 1 species
AUUGCCUUAGUAACGGCGAGUGAAGCGGCAACAGCUCAAAUUUGAAAUCUGGCCCCAGGCCCGAGUUGUAAUUUGCAGAGGAUGCUUUUGGCGCGGUGCCUUCCGAGUUCCCUGGAACGGGACGCCAUAGAGGGUGAGAGCCCCGUCUGGUUGGAUACCAAGCCUUUGUAAAGCUCCUUCGACGAGUCGAGUAGUUUGGGAAUGCUGCUCUAAAUGGGAGGUAUAUGUCUUCUAAAGCUAAAUACCGGCCAGAGACCGAUAGCGCACAAGUAGAGUGAUCGAAAGAUGAAAAGCACUUUGGAAAGAGAGUUAAACAGCACGUGAAAUUGUUAAAAGGGAAGCGUUUAUGACCAGACUUGGGCCGGUUAAUCAUCCAGCGUUCUCGCUGGUGCACUUUGCCGGUCCAGGCCAGCAUCAGUUCGCUGCGGGGGAUAAAGGCGUCGGGAAUGUGGCUCCUCUGGAGUGUUAUAGCCCUUCGCGCAAUACCCUGCGGUGGACUGAGGUUCGCGCAUCUGCAAGGAUGCUGGCGUAAUGGUCAUCAACGACCCGUCUUGAAACACGGACCAAGGAGUCGUCUUCGUAUGCGAGUGUUCGGGUGUAAAACCCCUACGCGUAAUGAAAGUGAACGCAGGUGAGAGCUUCGGCGCAUCAUCGACCGAUCCUGAUGUUCUCGGAUGGAUUUGAGUAAGAGCAUACGGGGCCGGACCCGAAAGAAGGUGAACUAUGCCUGUAUAGGGUGAAGCCAGAGGAAACUGUGGUGGAGGCUCGCAGCGGUUCUGACGUGCAAAUCGAUCGUCAAAUAUGGGCAUGGGGGCGAAAGACUAAU